GUGCCCGUAGCUCAGCUGGAUAGAGCAACAGCCUUCUAAGUUGUGGGUCGUAGGUUCGAAUCCUACUGGGCACACCA
rnacentral:tRNA from 1 species